GCUGAAACACUGGUUAUCGUCCGAUCACCGAAGUUAAGCAGCGUCGAGCCUGGUCAUUACUUAGAUGGGUGACCACUUGGGAAUACCAGGUGCU